rnacentral:lncRNA from 1 species
ACUUAAAAUGUCAAAAUGAACUUGUACUUUUUGAUAGACACUUAAUAUGGAUUUUGAAUACUAUCUUUGUGCUAAACUGCUUACACCUGUCUUUAAGUGAUCGAUAAUGGGGGAAUAAUGAACUGUUUAGUGAAGCAUCUCUAAAAUUAAUGUGCAAAUAAAUGCUGCAGAAUUAAGGAUGGGACUACAUAUAGGUUACUUCUAGAAAACUUUUGUUAUUGAGAUUUUACUUAUUUUUAUUUUAUGUGUGUGUUUCAAUGUAUGUCUGUGUACCAUGUGCCUGCAAUGUCCUCUCAGGCCAGAAGAUGGUGGCAGAGCCUCUGGGACUGGAGUUACAGUUGGUUGCGAGCCAUAAUGUAGGUGCUGGGAAUCAAACCCAGGUCCUCUAGAAUAGCAGCCAAUAUUCCUUUUUUUUUUCCUAGUUCUUUUUUUUUUCUUAGAUAUUUUCUUUAUUAACAUUUCAAAUGUUAUCCCCUUUCCUAGUUUCCUCUCCAAAAAUCCCCUCUCCUCUCCCCCAUCUCCUUGCUCGCCAACCCAUCCACUCACUCUCGCUUCCUGGCCCUGGCAUUCCCCUAUACUGGGGCAUAGUACCUUCAUAGGACCCAGGGCCUCUCCUUCCAUUGAUGACCGACUAGGCCAUUCUCUCCUGCAUAUGCAGCUAGAGCCAUGAGUCCCACCAUGUGUUUUCUUUGAUUGGUGGUUUAGUCCCAGGGAGCUCUGGGGUUACUGGUUAAUUCAUAUUGUUGUUCCUCCUACGGGGCUGCAAACCCCUUCAGCUCUUUGAGUACUUUCUCUAGUUCCUUCAUUGGGGACCCUGUGCUUCGUUCAGUGGAUGGCAGUGAGCAUCCACUUCUGUAUUUGUCAGGCACUUAGUAGAGCCUCUCAGGAGACAGUUUUAUCAGGCUCCUUUCAACUAGCUCUUGUUGGCAUCCACAAUAGUGUGGGGGUGGGGGCAGUCUCUAGAUGGUCAUUCCUUCAGUCUCUGCUCCAAACUUUGUUUCUGUAACUCCCUCCAUGGGUGUUUUGUUCCCCAUUCUAAGAAGGAACAAAGCAUCCACACUUUGGUCUUCCUUCUUGAGUUUCAUGUGUUUUGUAAAUUGUAUCUUGGGUAUUCUGAGCUUCUGAGCUAAUAUCCACUUAUCAGUUAGUGCAUAUCACAUGUGUUCUUUUGUGAUUGGGUUACCACACUCAGGAUAUCCUCCAGAUCCAUCCAUUUGUCUAAGAAUUUCUUAAAUUCAUUGUUCUUAAUAGCUGUAUAGUACUCCAUUGUGUAAAUGUACCACAUUUGCUGUAUCCAUUCUUCUGGGUUCUUUCCAGCUUGUGGCUAUUAUAAAUAAGGAGCAGCCAGUAUUCUUAACUGCUGAGCCAUCUUUCCAACCCUUAGAGAACUUUAAAGCAAAUCUGCUGUGCUUUCAUUCUACCUAAGAAUCUUAGUCUCCUCACUGGCACGACAUUCUUUUUUUAGAGUGUUUUGGCAGGGUAUGGUGGCACACACCUCUAGUACCAUGGGAGGAGGAUCUGUGAUGUCAAGGCCACCCUGGGGUACAUGAGAACCUUCCUACUCCCCAAAAUAAGGGUUUUGACCAUCAUAACUACUAGAAUUGUGCAGUAAUGUAUGGAAGUAGCUUUAAUGACCCAUAGCAUCUACUUUGUACCUGGAUCACAGGCCAACACAUUUACCCUGUAUUCUGUCAAGAUGGUGUUGUCUCUGAACAGUAAUUGUAGAGGUGCUGUAGGGUAAAACUAGCUUAAAAUUAGAGAAACAGCUGGAAUUCUUUUAGAGUCAGUGGUGACCACAGCCUCAUGUUAAGCAUGGUCUUUAUACUAAGGAGCAUAUGUGUGUAUGUGUGAGUACCCAGAAGUUCCAGGCUGCAGAGCUUCCACUCUGAGCUGUUUGCACUGGGAAGUUUUAUCUUUAAACCUUUCGUCUACUCUACUUGGUUUCUCCCACUGAUAGGACGGGGGGGGGGGCACUUUUUAAUCUUGUGAAUUUUCCCUCUAUUUUUUCAGAAAAGCAUCUCUUUCUAAGCUGCAUUUAAAGACUAUCUUUUUCUGUGCCUGCCUUAUGCAGUGGAGUCCCCUUGUUUAGUAUUUAUAUCCACGUAUCUACUCCAUCAGAGUAAACAGUAGUACUUUCAUGCAUUAUGUAUACAUGUUUUUUUUUCCCAACUCACACAUGAAUAAAAAUACAUCUUAGAGAGGUGGGGGGCUUGGAAGGUGAGACUGUUUGAAAUGUGGCAGUCAUUUCCGAAGGUCUGGUUUGUGAAUCAGUGGUCACAAAUGUCAGGGCUGUCACAAAUGUCAGCAGUUUUAAAGGACCAGGUGUCAUCGUGUUGCAGAUGUAAUAACACCUUUCGUUUAUGGGCAGACAUGAUAAGACACACUUGAAAAGGAAGCCAGAAACCCUGUUUGUAGCACUGAAUGUAGAAGGAAUGUAUUUCUAAAAAUUAGUUUUUAACCAUUGGUUUUACUAAAGGAUUAGACCCUAAGCUGUCCAGUGUAGUAUACACUAGUUGUGAAAGUGCUUGAAAUAGGACUUUUCUGAUUAAAUAUAGUAUUUUCUGCUGUAUAUAUAAAAUGCUUACUAGAUUUCCAAAGCUUCUGAUAACAAAGACAGAUUUAAUGCUUUUUAUCUUAUUACAUUCUGAGACUGUAUAUAAUGGAUCUAGUGGGUUAAAUAAUAUCAGAACUAAACUUAUGUCUUAACUUUUAUUGUGGAUAUUAGAGAGAUUAAAUGUACAUUGUGCUGUGGCUCAUGUGUUUCAUUGGGAUAAUAUUGCUAUAUAUAUUUAAUAGACUUUUAAACAAAAGGCUUUGAGAGCAUAAAGUUUCUGUAUAUAUGUCAAUUACCCAUCCAGGUGUGCAAACAGAAAAGCUCUAUUGUUUUAUAUCUCUGAUUAUAUGUGUGUAAUCUUUUUCUCCAUUUCAUAUUUUCCUGUUACCAGAGAUAGUGAGUUGUAAUAAUCUUUUUUUAAAUGGGUAUUCCCUUAUCUCUUCACUCAAUCUACAAUACUCCUUAUUUAUUUAUUUAUUUAUUUAUUUAUUUAUUUAUUUAUUUAAUGUAAGUACACUGUACCUGUCUUCAGACACCCCAGAAGAGGGCAUCAGAUCUCAUUAUGAAUGGUUGUGAGCCAUCAUGUGGUUGCUGGGAUUUGAACUCAGGACCUUCGGAAGAGCAGUCAGUGCUCUUAACCGCUGAGCCAUUUCUCCAGCCCGUAAUAAUCUUUUUAUAAGUUAGUUUUUUAGCUCCG